ACACUUACCUGGCACAGAGAUGCCAUGAUCAUGAGGGUGGUUUUCCCAGGGUGAGGUUUAUCCUUUGUACUCCAGAUGUCCUAACCCCUGCAAUUUCCCCAAAUGGGGGAAACACAACUACAUAAUUUGUGGUUAAGGGACUGUAUUCACGUUUUCCCAU
rnacentral:snRNA from 1 species